AGGGGCUAGGGGCACAAGACUGGACCUGGGGCGGAGGGGCACAAGACUGGACCUGGGGCGGAGGGGCACAAGACUGGACCUGGGGCGGAGGGGCACAAGACUGGACCUGGGGCGGAGGGGCACAAGACUGGACCUGGGGCAGAGGGGCUAGGGGUACAAGACUGGACCUGGGGCGGAGGGGCUAGGCGUACAGGACUGGACCUGGGGCGGAGGGGCUAGGGGUACAGGACUGGACCUGGGGCGGAGGGGCACAGGACUGGACCUGGGGCGGAGGGGCACAGGACUGGACCUGGGGUGGAGGGGCUAGGGGACUGGACCUAGGGGUUAGUUGAUAGGCAGAAGGGUGGAGUGGGGUCAGCCUGUAUCCCCCUCCAGGGACCAGGGGUUAGUUGAUAGGCAGAAGGGUGGAGUGGGGUCAGCCUGUAUCGCCCUCCAGGGACCAGGGGUUAGUUAUCUAAGCUUUCUUCUCCUCCAGUAUGUUGUGCAGUUCGUCAGCAUCCUCUGCUGUUUUGACCCUGAUGAGCAUGGCGACAGGGUUGGUAGGGUUGUUGUGGUCCACCACAGGGUUAGGAACACAAAUCACCAUCACGUUGUUCUUCCCCAUUCUGGAACAGGGUAUGGAAGGCUGGACCAUGAUGUUCAACAGGAUGUUACCUGGAGGAGAGAGAGAGAGAGAGGGGGUUGUUAUUGAUGAGGUCUGGAGCGGGAUGUUACAGACAGACAGGUUAUUGAUGAGGUCUGGAGCGGGAUGUUACAGACAGACAGGUUAUUGAUGAGGUCUGGACCGGGAUGUUACAGACAGACAGGUUAUUGAUGAGGUCUGGACCGGGAUGUUACA
rnacentral:lncRNA from 1 species